rnacentral:rRNA from 1 species
GACAGAGGGUGCAAACGUUGUUCGGAAUUACUGGGCGUAAAGCGCGUGUAGGCUGCUUCAUGAGUCGGAUGUGAAAGCCCUGGGCUCAACCUAGGAAGUGCACUCGAAACUGCGAAGCUUGAGUCCUGGAGAGGAAGGCGGAAUUCUCGGUGUAGAGGUGAAAUUCGUAGAUAUCGAGAGGAACACCGGUGGCGAAGGCGGCCUUCUGGACAGUGACUGACGCUGAGACGCGAAAGCGUGGGGAGCAAACAGG